CUCAGUGUAACAAGUCAAUAAGUCAGCAGAAGCAACUGACAGUAAUCAGGACAAACCAAGGCCUGGAAUCCAGAAUAACCAAUAAGUUAAGUCACAUACAGUUAUUUGGCUCAAUAGUUUAGCUCUAAACAGUCUGUAAUACAUAGGCCAGGUAGAAAUGGGCAGGAUAGGCAGUAAUACCAAAAGUCCCUCCUAACUCCUUUUUUGUAGCAUACUCAACACUUUCUCUGAAGUGAUGUUUUGCAGGCUGGGGAGAUUUCAGAAGCAAAGUGC